rnacentral:lncRNA from 1 species
AUCGCUGGGGCCUCCCUGCGAGGCUGUCAGCGGCCGAGGUGGGGGUCCUUGCCGGGGUGAGGAGCCGAUUGUCCACCGGAUCAGGCCCCCUGCAGCAGCCCGCCUGGAACCCGAGCAUGGCCGGGCGGGGAAGGGGCGGCGGCACCGGAAUUGCUCCGCCCAGCUAAGGCCGGGGCCGUGGCUCCUGUGCAAGAUGGGCCUGUGCACCCUCCAGCCCCUGGGCCCUCCUGGAAAAUCCUUCACAUCCUGCGGGACCUGGACCGCCAGCGGCCUCCCAAGCCUGGGCCAUUUGCCCCGUCGCCUCCGCCUGGCAUUCGACUUCUUAGAACCCCGGGCACGAGGGCAGCGUGGGGGCAGUGGUGGCUGUCGGUCCAUGCGGGCCGCCGAGAGGACGCGCCCACCCCACCCUCCAAACGCCGCCCUCCUGCUUCAGCCAAAGCCGUCCCAGAGAUGGGCCCAGGGACGCGGCUGCAGAGGCCACUUCCGGUCACUCCCCGCUGCGGCCUCGCGCUCCGGGGUGGCCCCGCGGCUCCAGGAGCCGCACCCUCCGCUGCGCCAGCUCCGACCGCAGCCUUCGGGAGCAGAAGCAGCGCCGCGCGGGCCCCGACCCCACACCCUCCCCCCGGCGCCUCCGCCUGCAGGACCCCGGCCCUCCCCGGGCUCGCUGGGUCCCUCCUCCCCGGCCGCUCCCCGCACCACGCGCGGUGCCUACGAGCUCCAAGGCGGCGCCAGCCAAGACGGUCCCGGCCAAGCGGCGGUGGGUGCGACCCCCACCACGGGCCCCGGCACCGGCGGGGAGGGCGCGCUCCUAGGCUGCGGGAGCGGACGGACCCCUCCGACUCCGGCCGCCUGGCGCCGCCGCCUCCUCCCCGCCGAAGUCCCUCCCGGGGCAGCCGCCGCCAACUUUCCGGAGCGGGAGCGACUGUGAACCCGAGUCCUCCCGGCGCCCCGGGCCCUUCGCGCGCCUGCCCGUCCCCGUAACCCGGCCCUGCGCCCGCCCGGGACCCACUAGUGCGGCCGAGCGACCCGGCGUGACCGCGGGACCCACAGGGCGCCCCUGCCCCGCGGCUCUCUCCACCCCCGCGCGCUGGGGCUGCGGCGCCGUGUCUGGCGCGAGGCUGGGGGCCGAGGGUGUGUAGUCGGGGGAAACAGCCGGUCCUAAGUGGCCCUGUGGCCGGGCGCGGGGGCUCACGCCUGUAAUCCCAACCAUUUGGGAGACUGAAGCGGGAGGAGCGCUUCACUCCAGGAGUUCGAGACCUGGUGGGGAAACCAGCCCCAAGCCACCCGGCGGGUACCCCGAGUCCACCCGGCGGGUGCCCCGAGUCCAGCGGGGACAAAGGAUUUAGAAAGAGAAUAACAGUUUAACAGGCGGGUCCAGGGGACCAGAGCGUCGGAGGCUUGCUCACCGCCCCGAGCUCUCGGCCUCCACCCAAUUUAUUGGUUUACAAGCUCUUUGUUCUUAGGGCAAAUGGGAGGGGUAAGAAGGGAUGAGGAAAAGGAUUAAUCAAUGAAGGAGAACUCGUGACUCAUUUAAUAAGAUGUAUAGCAGUGGCGGUUUCUGUGAAUUUCCUCUACCAAAGGCGUGUGUCUAAACUAUUGAAGAUCUUUAACUUAUCCGGACUGAAAUGGGUGGGAGCGGGUUUCAGGAGGAGCCAAGAUGUUUGAUUAUACUCCACUGCUUCGAGGGAGUGUUAUCUCCGCCAGCACCUGUGGCAUGCAUAAAGACAUGAAGGCAAAAAGGAGACUUUUCUCCUCAGAGGCCGCCCAUGGCUUCCCCAUGGAUGUCUCACGCAGGGGGGACCAACUCAUCUGGCAUUCCAGAAACUCUCUUUCCCACAGGUACCCCUUUUUUUGUCUCUAUUAAUUUUUUUUUUUUUUUUUUUUUUUUUUUUUUUUGAGAGGGAGUCUCGCUCUGUCGCCCGGGCUGGAGUGCAGUGGCGCGAUCUCGGCUCACUGCAAGCUCCGCCUCCCGGGUUCACCCCAUUCUCCUGCCUCCGCCUCCCGAGUAGCUGGGACUACAGGCGCCCGCCACCACGCCCGGCUAAUUUUUUGUAAUUUUAGUAGAGACGGGGUUUCACCAUGUUAGCCAGGAUGGUCUCGAUCUCCUCAACUUGCGAUCCGUCCGCCUCAGCCUCCCAAAGUGCUGGGAUUACAGGCGUGAGCCACUGCGUCCGACUCUAUUAAUUUUUUUUAAUUAAUAACCGCCAUUGCUAUUUCGUUCACUGUGUCUGGCUUCUCUACCAAGGCGCCGUCGGCAUCUGUAGACUAAAAAUAAACAGCAUAAACAGACACAAACCAAAAUAAAAUUUGCAAUUAUUG